AUUUUGAGAAAUAUCUUUAAUUUUAGUAUAAGUAAGGAAUUAAGAUUUUAUAGUUAUAGGUUAUUAGUACUGUAAAGGAACAUAUUGAAAUAUAUUGAAAAUUUAAAUUUUAAUAAGUAUAUUUUAUUUAUUGUACCUUUUGUAUCAGGGUUGAUUAAAUAUGUUUAAUUUAUAUUAUUUUCCCGAUUUCAGAAGAGCUAAUUUCAAAUUAUUGUUGUUGUUUUAUAAACAUAUUUAAUUUGAUUUUAGAAGAGAAAUUUUAGUCGAUUCUGAAGGUAUCUGGUUUUUUAAGAAAUAAAUUUAAUUUAGUCUUAGUUUUUAUAUAAUUAAUUUUUUAAUUAUUUAUUAAUUAGGUUUGAGAUAUUAGGGGAUAAGCUCUAAUAUUAUUCUAUAAAUUCAUUUUAAUUUAUCUGUUGUAGGCUUUAAAUUAGCCAUCGUUGUUGAGUUCGUUGUAGUUCAUGAUAAUAUGUUUAUGAUUUUCUGUGUUUUAGUAUAUUAUUAAAAUGUUAUUUUUAAUUUUAUAAAAUUUGUAAUAAUGAUUAAAUUAGUAUAUAAUUUUGUAUAUCAUUUAUUUUUUGAUAUAAUUAAAUAAGGAAUUCGGCAAAUAUAACGCUCGCCUGUUUAUCAAAAACAUGGCCUCUUGUUUGUAUAUGAGGUCUGACCUGCCCGGUGAAAUAUUAUUUUAACGGCCGCAGUAUUUUGACUGUGCAAAGGUAGCAUAAUCAUUAGUCUUUUAAUAGGGGGCUGGAAUGAAGGGUUUGACGAGGUGUUAACUGUCUCAUUUAAUUUGUGUUUAAAAUUUAACUUUUCAGUUAAAAGGCUGAAAUUUUGUUGGAAGACGAGAAGACCCUAUAGAGCUUUAUAGUUGUAAUUUUAAUAAAAUUUUGUUUAUAGUUACUUAUUAUUUUUUAAACUAUUUUGUUGGGGUGACAAAAAUAUAUAAUUAACUUUUUUAUUUUAUACCCAUUGAUGAAUGUGUACUAGAUCCAAUCUUAUUGAUUGUUAGAUUAAGUUACCUUAGGGAUAACAGCGUAAUCUUCCUCCAGAGUUCAUAUUUACGGGAAGGCUUGCGACCUCGAUGUUGGAUUAAGAUAAUAAUUAGGUGUAGCCGCUUAAUGUAUAGGUCUGUUCGACCUUUAAAUUCUUACAUGAUCUGAGUUCAAACCGGUUUAAGCCAGGUUGGUUUCUAUCUCCAAUUUUAUUUUAAUCUUUAGUACGAGAGGACCAGGAUUAAUGAAAAAUUUUUUUAUUUAUUGAAUAAUAUUAAUUUACUAUUUUGGCAGAAAAGUGCCAUGGAUUUAGAAUU
rnacentral:rRNA from 1 species